rnacentral:lncRNA from 1 species
ACCGUAUUUUUCGCACCAUCCGAUGGCUAGCAAAAUAUUUACAUACUGUAGUCUAUAGCUUCGCCUCCCGAUCAUCACCUGCUACGACUGUGGGCCACUUUCUCCACGAAUAUAAUGCACUCGGGGAGGUAACAGCUCGGAUCUUCUGCCAUGACGCUUGGGGGAUUCUGGGGAAAUUCGUAGUUAAAAACAAGUCACCUCCCAAAAGUUUUGAUUAUGACAAGGUUUCUGGGGUUAAUUCCAGGCUGGCCAUCCCAAAAUCAGAUCCCCUUUGGGGAUGAGUUGGUAGCACAAUACAAUCCUUCCCCGGUUGUGUUGUCAUUUCGAAUGCGUCCGGCAAAAAACCAGGGAGAAACGGAGGGCUCAGUCUUAGGUUUUAGCCUCAAAAGCCAGGUUUUGGGCAUUCCCAGAGAUCAGGCCCCUCACGAACCGGCAGCCAUUCUGGCUGAAUUCUCACUCGGAGAAAAGUUUGCGCUCCUGGGAAAAAUCGCAGAGCACCGUCACACGGAACGGAAGGAUUUUUAUUAAUUUCUGCGUGAUUGCGUUUUUUUACAUCACAGUUUGGGUGACGUGCUUCUUCUCCCCUCCGGAGAGGGCAUCACCGUUCACUUCCAGGUUGGAAAAGAAAAAAACAAUAAAACCCAAAAAAGUGCAUAGAGAUGCUUCACAGUCUUCGUCUAAUGGAUCUCCCCCCCUCCUUCCCUCUCCCCCUACGUAAUACUUCCCAUAAGCAGGGCUGAGGCAGAGUGCUUGUAACAUGGUCAACUCCGAAAGCACCAACGGCUGGCGUCAAGUCAUGAAAAAAAUAAUAAUACAAACUCUUCAUUUCAUCUAUUAUGUUACAGAAGGGAGAGGGGGGGGAAACAAAACCAACCCGCCCCACGAAAUCAUGAGACCAAAGGCAAGGGGGCAGGAGAGGCGCAGCGGCUCGGCCGACGGGUGGGAGAAGCCCCCCCUGGAUGUCGGACCGGCCGGGCGACACCCCAGUGGGCGAAAAAAACACCGUCAGAGUGGAACAGGGCGGAAAAAGGAAAGCCACGGGGGGGGGGAUGAUGGGCCUCCUCCAUGGAAGGUCCCGGGAUCGGACAAGACAGGGUGGCGACGUAGGCCCGGGACAAGCCCAGACGGGCACAGGGAGUCGGAAAGCAGGGCACGCGGGCAGGGUUGGGGUGAGGGUGCAGCAACUAGUGAGGGACACACAACUUUUAGAGGGUGCUGA